AACUUUCAACAAUGGAUCACUUGGUUCUGGCAUCGAUGAAGAACGCAGCGAAAUGCGAUAAGUAAUGUGAAUUGCAGAAUUCAGUGAAUCUUCGAAUCUUUGAACGCACAUUGCGCCCUGUGGUAUUCCGCAGGGCAUGCCUGUUCGAGCGUCAUUUAACCACUCAAGCCUGGCUUGGUAUUGGGGUACGCGGUCUCGCGGUCCUUAAAAUCAGUGGCGGCGCCGGUGGGCUCUAAGCGUAGUAUAUACUCCCGCUAUAGAGUUCCCUCGGUGGCUCGCCAGAACCCCUAAUUUUUACAGGUUGACCUCGGAUCAGGUAGGGAUACCCGCUGAACUUAAGCAUAUCAAUAAGCGGAGGCU
rnacentral:misc_RNA from 1 species